GGGGGGAGGAAGCGAAGGAGGUUUGGCCUCCAGAGUUUCGGGGCUCAUCACUGGCUCCCCCCUUGGCCUCGUCUUCCCCUCCCUAAAACGCGAACGGGCUCGAGUCUCAUACAGAGGCGUUGGGAGGGGACAGGGAAUGAAGACCAGACGCUGCUCUGGGGGGAGGUGUAGACCUGGAAGAAGGUGAAAGGCUCAAAAGAGAAGGCAAACUCCGCUGCUUCUACGACUUUCCACAUGGGCUUAGUGCCUCCUUCCCCCUCCGCACAGCACCCUCCCACACUGCCGCGUCCCCUCUGCCUACGGGCUGUGCUGAGGGACAGCGGAGCUGCGGGGGCAGGCAAUGGGCAGCUAUUACUUUUUAUUAGAGCCACAUUUAACGCCCACCACCCCCUCGGAAUGAUGAAAUAGGUAAUGAUGGGGGCCAGGGAAAGUAGGCUACUUGGGAAUAAAUCAAUAAAAACAUAUUGUGAUUAUACUUAA